CAUGAAGUAGAACAAUCCAAAUACAAUAAUAUUUAAAGGUUUUUGUAAAAUAAUUUGGCAUAUAAAUGCAUAUUUUUUGCGGAACUUGCAAGAGAAACCCUUGUACCUUUAUGACUGAAACCAGUUUAUCUUUUAUUUUGGUGGAAAUCUACAUUUUCUGUAAAAACCAUGUUUUAGUAAUGUGUCUCAUUACAAGAGAUGUGCACAUUUGUUAGGUGAAAAUGUAUUACACCGUUCGAGAAGGGAACCUUCAACCAGGACCGCUGUAAGGGGAGGCAAGAUUAGGACAAUUCCAAGGGCCCAGUGUUAGAGAGGGCACCCCGAGUGGGGAAUGAGAUUUCUACCAAAAGGGACUCUAAAAUGUUAGAACCAACAGCCUCGUGCAUAUAGUGUGGUUGUGCUUCGGGUAAUCCUUGAAAGAGUCCCAGCGCUAGGUCCUUUCUAACGCAGUCCCCUCCACUUUCUCCCACUUGUGUGCUUUCUGUACUGUCUUGUAUAAACA